rnacentral:rRNA from 1 species
UUUUCGGAGAGUUUGAUUCUGGCUCAGAACGAACGCUGGCGGCGUGGAUAAGACAUGCAAGUCGAACGAGAUUUAGCAAAGCUUGCUUUGCGAGAUCUAGUGGCGAACGGGUGAGUAACACGUGAGCAACCUGCCCAGAAGCAGGGGAUAGCCCACCGAAAGGUGGAUUAAUACCGUAUGUGAUCCCAAGAGGCAUCUCUUGGAGAUUAAAGCCGGGGACCGUAAGGCCUGGCACUUCUGGAUGGGCUCGCGGCCUAUCAGCUUGUUGGUGAGGUAACGGCUCACCAAGGCGACGACGGGUAACUGGUCUGAGAGGAUGAUCAGUCACACUGGAACUGAGACACGGUCCAGACACCUACGGGUGGCAGCAGUCGAGAAUCAUUCACAAUGGGCGAAAGCCUGAUGGUGCGACGCCGCGUGGGGGAUGAAGGGCUUCGGUUCGUAAACCCCUGUCAUCUGUGAGUAAGACUCCCAAUAAAAGCUUGGGAGGUUGAUAUUAGCAGAAGAGGAAGGGACGGCUAACUCUGUGCCAGCAGCCGCGGUAAUACAGAGGUCCCAAGCGUUGUUCGGAUUUACUGGGCGUAAAGGGUGCGUAGGCGGCUGGAAAAGUUUGGUGUGAAAUCUUCGGGCUCAACCCGGAAACUGCACUGAAAACUAUCUGGCUAGAGGAUCGGAGAGGAGAUUGGAAUUCUCAGUGUAGCAGUGAAAUGCGUAGAUAUUGAGAGGAACACCAGUUGCGAAGGCGGAUCUCUGGACGAUUCCUGACGCUGAGGCACGAAGGCUAGGGUAGCGAAAGGGAUUAGAUACCCCUGUAGUCCUAGCAGUAAACGGUGCGCGUUUGGUGUGGGCAGGUUCGACCCUGUCCGUGCCGGAGCUAACGCGUUAAACGCGCCGCCUGGGGAGUAC